rnacentral:rRNA from 1 species
CAUGCAAGUCGAGCGGAAACGAGAAUAGCUUGCUAUUCGGCGUCGAGCGGCGGACGGGUGAGUAAUGCUUGGGAACAUGCCUUGAGGUGGGGGACAACAGUUGGAAACGACUGCUAAUACCGCAUAAUGUCUUCGGACCAAAGGAGGGGAUCUUCGGACCUUUCGCCUUUAGAGUGGCCCAAGUGAGAUUAGCUAGUUGGUGGGGUAAAGGCUCACCAAGGCGACGAUCUCUAGCUGGUUUGAGAGGAUGAUCAGCCACACUGGGACUGAGACACGGCCCAGACUCCUACGGGAGGCAGCAGUGGGGAAUAUUGCACAAUGGGGGAAACCCUGAUGCAGCCAUGCCGCGUGUGUGAAGAAGGCCCUCGGGUUGUAAAGCACUUUCAGUCGUGAGGAAAGGGGUGUAGCUAAUAUCUGCAUCCUGUGACGUUAGCGACAGAAGAAGCACCGGCUAACUCCGUGCCAGCAGCCGCGGUAAUACGGAGGGUGCGAGUGUUAAUCGGAAUUACUGGGCGUAAAGCGUGCGUAGGCGGUUUCUUAAGCGAGAUGUGAAAUCCCGGGGCUCAACCUCGGAACUGCAUUUGGAACUGGGUGACUAGA